rnacentral:hammerhead_ribozyme from 1 species
AUCAGUCUGAAGAGUCCCAGAUAGGACGAAACGCGCGUCCUGGAU